CUAUUGAUUUUUGCUUAACUAUACUAUUUUAAUUUGUAAUGCUUUGCCAACGGCUCUCUGUCUACCAAAAGACACAUGCCCACCAAUCAAAGACGCAUUGCUUCGUCUAACGCCAAACAUCCAGCAUGGAACAAAAAUAGUGGAAGAAAUGGGGGAUCCGAAUAAACCUGUUGAAUUUAACUGUUAAUUUCAAAACCAGAAUAAAAUAUUAAAUAAAAAAUUGAUUCAAUAG
ensembl:lincRNA linc-10 ncRNA